CUUGAAAUGAUUGUGUAGGCCUUGCCUUACUGCUUCUGCUCUUAUGAACUUUUGUCUCAUGACAAUUCCCACAGCUCCCUAGUAAGUAGUUUUUUUCUGUUAAACCACCCUAGGAAUUGUAGAUUUGUGAGGGGAAAUAGGGGUCUCCUAGCAACUGACAGUACCCUUAACAAACUGCAGCUCCCUGGGUUAUUUGGGGGAAGCCAUGGCUGUCAUUGGUGUAAUGAAAUGCCUACUGUUAAGUUGUGGGUGAACAUAUCAGACGACAGCGAUUCUUGAAACAGCUCUGGUUUAUUCACAGGCUAGAACAGAACUGAACUGAAGGGUUCAGCCAGCCUGCUUAUAUAGAGCUCCAGUACAACGCAACUGUAACAAUUUUCUGUAACUAUCCAAUCACUGAACUGUUGAUUUAAAGCAGAGUCUCGUGCCCAGCGGAAGGAUGAGGAAAAUGUGUUACAUACUCCAUAUUGCUUUAUUUACAGUUCAAAGCUGGUAUAUUACAGAAAGACAUCUUGCUUCUGCCGAAGCAGAAAAAUGCAUCCUCUCUCCUCAACAGCCCGGAGAGAAUCACAGAGUGAAAAACAGGAAACCAGUGUACGUCACAUCCAGUCUCCCUUUCCCGUGAGAAACUCCAACAGUACAGACUGUGGAAUGUAAACACCUGUCUCGUGACAUGUAGAGCUGCACAGUGAAGGAAAGCAGAAACCAACAUCCUCCCCCUUUCUGUGAACAUCACUGGGCAGCGUGUUUGUACAAUAUCAGUACAAACCCAACUUCUGCACAUAGGUACAGUGUUGAUCCCUCGAUACAAUCUUGGACAAUACAUCAGCAGGAAUUUCAUUACCUGGCAUAUAGGACACCGUUACGAGUCCCUUCUGAAUACAUUCCCUAGCAUGCUGCAACUUUAAUUGCAAGUGCUUUGUGCUUUGCUUACAACCUUCAGACUUCAGCAAAGCCAAACAUGCUUUGUUGUCCUGGUAAACCUGGAUUGGACAUUUGACAGGAAUUUUCAUAUCUUUGCACAAUUGUACUAACCAUUCACAAUCCUUAAGUGAAUAAGACAGUGCAUUCAGUUCAGCUUCACAAGUACUUAAGCUAACUGUUGUUUGCUUCUUGCAUGACCAAUCAAACAGACUCUGAUUGUACAUGUAGCAAACUCCAGACGUACUUUUCCUGUCUGUAGCGUCACUUCCAAAACUUGCAUCUGCAAAUAUCUCAAGACCACCAGACUUCUGAUUGUUAAAUCUCAGUCUGUAAUGCAUAGUGCCUUUCAAAUACCGCGCUAUGCGUUUCAGAGCUUUCCAAUCCUUGACACUAGGAUUGUUGACUUGUCUGCUUAGCAAAUUACAGCUAACAGCAAUGUCUGGUCUUGAACAUCUGGCAAUGAAGUUUAGCUUGCCUAGCACACUCCUGUACAGUGUAGUGUCAGAAAAUGCUUCUUCAGUGUCAUCUACCUGAUAACCUGUUGUCAUCGGUGUGUCUACAGGGUUAGCAUCCAUCAGAUUUAGUUUGCUUAACACAUCAGCAAUUUUCCGUGACUGGUGUACUAGAAUGUUACCAUCUUGAUCUCUCUCUAUUUCCAGAGAUAGGUAGUUGUUUACCUCACCAAGAUCUUUCAUGUCAAAGUGCUCUUUCAGUUGAGCUAGGCGCUAUUGUACAUUGCAACAUCUUUCCAAAAGAAUAAUAAAUCAUCAACAUAAAACAAACAGUACAGUUUCUUUUGCCCCUCCUCUUGACAAAUACACAUGGAUCAGCUUUCCUUGCUGAAAACCUAGAGAAAACAAUACUUCAGUGAGUUUUGUGUGCCAACACCGUGCACUUUGUUUGAGACCAUAAAGGGAUUUCUUCAGAGCACAAACAAAUCCCUGUUUUACCUGUACGCCAUCAGGUGGAAGCAUAUAAAGUGAUUCAUCUAGAGAUCCGUACAGAAAAGCUGUAUUAAUAUCAUGGUGACUAAUGUGUAGAUUUUCCUCUGCAGCUAGCUUAAGCAUAAGCCUAAUGCUUUCAUAUCUCACUGUGGGUGAAUAGGUCUCGUGAUAGUCUUCACCUGGUACCUGUGCAAAACCUCUGGCUACCAAUCUGGCUUUGUGUCUGACUAUCUUGCCAUUUUGAUCUGUCUUCGCUUUGAAGACCCAUUUGCUUCCAAGCAGUUUCAUUCCUGGAACUACUGGAACUAGCUCCCAUGUUUUGUUCCUUUCUAAGGAAUCAAGCUCAGCCUUCAUGGCAUUUAACCAUGGCUCAGCUUCCUUUGAAUCCAAACCCUGGAUUUCUUGGAAACUUGAAGGUUCAAAUACCUUCUUGGAGCUUUUAACAGCUGUUACUGCUAUCUUAGCAAACUCAUCAGCAAAUCUCUUGGAGGUUUGCCUUUUGUGGCUCUCUGUGACCUACGAAUUAGCCUUAAGUCUUCAACACUCUCCUCUUCCUUCUUAGGAGAAAAACGACCUAUUGUGAACAAUGGUUCCUCCAAUUCUUGAUCAGAGCUUUCAGAGGGUCGCAUAGAGGCUUUCGCACUCUUGAAAUCCUCUGAAUCACCCGAUUCAGUUUCAGAUUCAGACUCAGAACCUUCAUCAGUGGGUGUGGGCUGUUGUGGUUGCUUUUGACUAUCCUCAGUCUCAUCACCGUCAUCAGGAUAACAUUGGAAAAUUCCCACAUUCUCCCCCACUUUGCAUUGUACUCAACACUUCUCGUGAGCUUAAUUGUCUUAGAGUCAGUCAUCAUUAUUCUGUAAGACCCUUUCUGAUAACCUAGAAAGAUACCAUGCAAUCCACGCUUGUCUAACUUGGAGUUUUGUGGUGAGCGAACCCACAUGUCAGAACCAAAAUCUUCAUGUGUUUGAUGUAUGGCUUCUGCCAAACAUCUUCUCAUAGGGGUACAACCAAUCGCUGAAGAUAACCUGCGAUUGUAACUGUAAACAAAACACGAGAGAGAUUCGGCCCAAUAACUCUCUGGAAGAUUGGCAUCAUGCAGCAAGGUUUUUAACCCUUGAAGCAAUGUCUGAUUUGCCUGCUCCGCAAGUCCAUUCUGCCAUGGCGAGCGAGGACUAGACAAAUCGUGUUGAAUUCCUUUCUCAGUCAGAAAAGCUUCAAACUGCUGAGAAGGGAAUUCCCCCGCGAUCACUGAAAAGAGUCUUUAUCUUCUUACCAUGCACAUUUUCCAACCAAGCACAGAAUUCCUUGAACCUAGGAAAAGCCUCCGAUUUCUGCUUGAGAUUGUACACAAAAAUAUAUCUAGAAAAUGCAUCAAUGAGAACCAUGAAGUAUCUAUUUCCACCCAAAGAGGGCGCUAGUGGUCCAACCAAAUCAGCAUGAACAACCUGGUAUGGUUCUGUAGCUUUCCUACUAGACACCUUACCUUUCGCAGCCAUUUUCACCUUGCUUGCUGCGCAUGCUUUGCACUUCAUGUGGUACCUGCAGGGUUUAAUAGUCAUACCUUCAACCAAGGCAGGCAUUUUAGAUACUGCCUCAAAAUGCAAAUGACCAAAUUUUCGAUGAAAAUCGUGAAUACAUUCUGCAUGCAAACUUUUGUUAGAACCUGCAAUGCAACAAGUGUCAUCCUGCACCACAUCAUCAUAAUACAAAACAAACAAAUGAUCAACAUAUUCUGCAUGCAAUACAUAAUCAUUUUUCUUUGUGAUGAUGCACUUCUUGUUCUUGAAGGAAACGUCAAUGUUCCGCUCAUUCAGCUGUCCAACGCUGAGCAGAUUAUGUUUGGCGUCUGGCACGUAAAGCACAUUCUGUAUCGAUAAGUCCAAACUGUGAAGAACAACAGUUCCGUAGCCUUUACUGGGAAUAGUGUGGUCAUCCGCCUGGUGAAUCGCACCUUCCUGCGGUGUAAAAGACACAAACAGUUUCUUAUCGUUGCACAUGUGGUGGGUGGCCGCUGAAUCAACAACGAAGAAAGAUCUAGACGUCUUCUGGACCUCUGCAACCUUUGGAGUGAAGCGUGAAACCAUAGCCUUGUGCUGCGUUGUCCUAGACACCGGACCUUGCCUUUUCCUCGGCCUUUUCCGCGCGAUGAGCUCGCUGCGCUGCUCUGUCUUGGCCCUGGGAUGUCUGCAUUCCCUCUUCAUAUGGCCUAGACGUCCACACGAGUAGCAUUUCACUGCCUUCAAAGCUUUGGCGCCAUCUGGUGGUUCCACUGCACUAUGGGAUGACGUCUGUGAAGACUCCCUUGCCCAUGCAGCUAGCACCCCGGCGAUCUGCUUCAUUUAAAAUCACGGCAGUAACAAAGUCCACUGUCAGCUGAGCAGUUGGUUGCACAGCAAUCUGGGUUGCAACAGACUCCCAACCUGAACCCAAAGAUUGUAGUAUCAUGAAAGAAUACACAGCCUCUGGAAAGUUGAGUCCUCUCUGUUGCAGCUCAUGUCUCAGAUUUUGCAUCUGCAUCAGAUGUAAACGCACAUCUCCACCUUCAGCAAGAGCCAUAUUAUGCAGCUUGUUAAAAUAAAACAUAGUGGAUCCAGCUUCUGUCCUUAAGUGAGCCUCUCUCAGAGCGUCCCAAAUUUCUCUGGCUGAGGUCUUAUCACGCAAUAGACAGAGCUCUUCUGGGGAUACUAUCAAUGUAAGAGUUCCCCUUGCUUUGGAAUCCUUAGCUUCCCAUGCAUCUGUAACUGGAACUGGGGGUUCCUGUAAUCACCUCAAACAAACCCUCUUCCGCAGAAUUGCCUCUGCAUACUGAACCCAGUCGCUGUAAUUUUUCUUGUUGAGCUUAGGAAUCCCACAAGCAUCCUGAAGGGCCAUCAUGACUCUGGCAUUAGCCUUCAGCGUCAUAUGCUGCUUUAAAUCUUGCUGCGUCACUGCUGCAGCUGCUUCAUUACAAAGGCACACUUAAAAGUUACUUCGAUUUCCCCAGCAUAGUGACUUGUGCCUGGGAGCCUUUUGCCUAUUCCCGGCAAAACCGGCUUUAAAAGUUCAAAGUCCAGCCAUAAAGCCAUUAACUUGAAGCUGGCAGGCUGCCCGGAGCAGUAGCACAUACCUCAUCAAUCACUUCUACGCGCAGAGCAGAUUCCUUUCCGAUCCGUCCCUCUGCAUUCCGAUCCUUUGCCGGCACUCCGAUUCGACCUCUGGAGCCCAUAACCACGUGUUGAUUUAAAGCAGAGUCUCGUGCCCAGCGGAAGGAUGAGGAAAAUGUGAUACAUACUCUAUAUUGCUUUAUUUACAGUUCAAAGCUGGUAUAUUACAGAAAGACAUCUUGCCUCUGCCGGAGCAGAAAAUGCAUCCUCUCUCCUCAACAGCUCGGAGAGAAUCACACAGUGAAAAACAGGAAACCAGUGUACGUCACAUCCAGUCUCCCUUUCCCGUGAGAAACUCCAACAGUACAGACUGUGGAAUGUAAACACCUGUCUCGUGACAUGUUAGCUGCACAGUGAAGGAAAGCAGAAACCAACAUGAACAUCACUUUCAAUCCCUUAUUUGUAUAUGUGGACCUGAGUGAAAACUAUCUACAGUAUCCCCCUGCUGGCCCAGGGUGAGAACUUCAGUACAUAACACCUACAGAGGGUGGUGAAUACAGCACAAGAUAUUAUGGGCUGUCCCAUGAAUCCGCUGGAUGAAAUAGUGGAAGAACGUUGCCUCAGGAGAGUGAGGAAAUUUUUUGGGGAUGAUUCACACCCUGGCCAGCAAUUUCUUGAUCUCCUGCCCUCAGGCAGAAGAUAUAGAGGCAUGAUUAGUUGUGCCAACAGGGUAAAGAACAGCUUAUAUCCGUGGGCUGUUAGACUGCUGAAUGAAAAUAUAACAACAGGGUAACUGACUUUCAGGUUUGGUGGGUGUGCAUCAGUAAAUGAGAGGAAUUAAGACUAAGAGAGCUGAGUGGGGGAUGCUCGUGUAAUCUCACAGUAUACAAGUUGUACAAGUGACAAUAAAGUAUAAAGUAUUUCAUUCAUAUUGCUUUGAAUAUAUUAUGUGGAUGAAGCCAUAGUGAUGCAGCGCCAGAAAAUCCGUGGUUGAAAUAAUGCCUUUGCUGUGACAUCACUUGAUGGUCUUGCGGAAUGCCCAAUUUCCUGCCCACACCCGUUCUGCAAUAUAGAAGGGGAGGGAGUAACAAUAUUGACCCACCUUACAGGGUUGUUACCAAUAUUAUUAAGAUAAUGUACAGUGGUGCCCCGCAAGACGAAUGCCUCGCAAGACGAAAAACCCGCUAGACGAAAGGGUUUUCCGUUUUUCGAUGCGCUUCGCAAGACAAAUUUCCCUAUGGCCUUGCUUCGCAAGACGAAAACGUCUUGCGAGUCUUGCGAUUUUUUUCACUCCCCCCCUUUUUCUAAGCCGCUAAGCCGCUAAUAGCCUUUAAUAGCCGCUAAACAGCUAAACCGCUAAUAGCACUAAUCCGCUAAGCCGCUAAUAGGGUUGCUUCGCAAGACGAAAAAACCGCUAGACGAAGAGACUCGCGGAACGGAUUAUUUUCGUCUUGCGAGGCACCACUGUAUGUGGACUGCCGAGGCCCAAAGUAUUACUGUUCAUAAUAUCCAAGAGUGAACGGCAGAGGCUUAUCAUUACUGAAAGAUUAACAUCAGACCUUCAGUAGGGACGUUUGGGAAAAUAUAUUAAGGCUUACGAGGCAGACUAGAGAGAGUGAAAUAAGAAAACUAGACCGAUAUAAUUUCUGAUUUGUGCCCUUGUUUGAUUGAAUCGCAUGUCUGUUUUGUGUAAUCUACACGCCGUCGAACCAAUUUAUUGCUUUCCUCGCCUCCUUUGUUACAUCAUGCCGUAUCAAUUCGCUGCUUGGAAAAUGAAAACAAAAAGAGAGAAGGGGGAAAGUGAUUAAUGUUGCAUGGCAAAGGGAGUCCUCAAAAGGUUUUCUGAUAAAAGGCAAAGUUGCGGGAGGGGGGGAAGCAAGGAAAUGAGAAGAGAGAGGUGAGCUGGAGAUGCCAUCUGUCCUCCUUUACCUCAGCAAAGGUGUGUGCUAUUCGUAGCAUCAUUAAGGUGGCCCCCCUUGAAGCCAAAGGGCUGGGGAGCAUAUGGUGCCUUUACCCACACCUGAAAUGCUAAUAUCUUCUACAGCAUUUAUGGGAUUUUUGCUCCUUGGAUCCCAGUAACUCCUUCCUCUUCCGAGCGGCUUAGUUCAUACAUCUGGCUACUGACCCCACACAGCGGGGAGCCCGGUCGGCCGAUGCAGCCCUUGGCAAGUAGAGAGGAGCACCAGGGCCAGGGCAUGCUGGGGUCACCUGUGUGAGAGCACCUGUGCUGGUCCCGGGGGGGGGAGGUGUACCGUGCAGCGUGGUUUGAGUCCGGUCCUAGGUCGAGGGUAUGGAGGCUGUCCGUCAAGGGCGAAGCGGGGUCCAAGGCAAGGAGCUGGGCGUGGUCAGGAACUCUGGAAGAGCAGGACAGGGUGCUGGCAGGAACAGGUUACCAACGAUGUUGCUCCCGCAACCUGGGAUUGGGUGGGCUGGCCUUUAUCUCCUCUGAGGCAUAGGGCGGUCCCGGCUCACAGGUGACUUGCCUCUCCUGGCCUGGAGAUGAGCACUCCUCCUGCGAGAACUUAGUUCCCUCCACCUCUCUGCCCUGAGCCUCUGCAGCUCAGGAGAGGCUGGAGGGUUACUGGACCCAGAGGCAACCUCACCUUCCCCAACAGGGCUGAUAGUGGAGCACCUGCAGGCAAUGGGUCCCUGAUCACCUCCGGAGCCAGAGCGGAUUCAGCUGGUGUCUGCUCCUGAGGAUCCGGCACUGGUGAGGGACCUUCAGGUUCAAGCCCCAGCCCCGGCUCAGCCGGUCCCGGAGGCGGGGACUCCUGUGCAGACUGGGGUUCCUCAGCUUCGGCCUCUGAAUCCUAUUCCCAGGCCAUCACAGCGCCUGGCUCAUGCCCCCUCAAAAAUUGUGUCCUUCAAGCCACCGUGCUCCUGGCACCCCCACGCUAUGCCCCUGCUGGCUAUCCACCCACACAACCACCUCUGGAGUUCCAAUAUCACAAAACCGGGCACUGCUACGCAGGGCCUGUGCACUUGGCCGAUAUAAUUUCUAUAUUUAUUUCAGGGACUUUCUGGACGCCUUCAUGGAUUGGAUUCAUGGAGGAUACGGUUAAAAAUGGUCACUAGCCAUGAUGGCUAUGCUCCUCCUCCACUAAACUAUUAGAUAUAUAAUGCUGCAUGUGCUAUCAGGAAGAAUGCUUAAGAUACACGAUUGAUGGUUGACGAUCAGGUUACAAUCAUCUCCAGAUAAGGCUGAGAAAGACUACACUGAACUAUGGAGAUUCCCUGCUGAUCAGUGGGUGGAUGGAUGGAUGGAUGGUCUGAUUUGCAUAAGGUCACUUCCUUCCUUCCUAAUUUCAGAUUGUGAGCUAUUUGGUGCAUGGGCCUGUCAUCUUGUUACUCUGUUAAAAGCAAAGGAGAAGAAGCAGCCGUUCUUGAGGAAGUUCUCCUGCGGACUCCAGCAUUUCCUCCAGAGGCUAAUCCCUCAUUUCUCAAUCCCUGACCUUUGCAACAUCUUCCUUAAGGGAACAGGAGCCAGUUGCCUGCACGGCACUUCAUUUCCAGCGGCUGUUUUAAUGAGGCGCUUGCUUAUUACAAACAGGAUAUUGAACGCAGAGUUAAUUUCAGCCCAACUACUUUCAUUAUGUAGCUCAGCUUGGGUUCGGCGUUAGAAUGGCGCUCAUGACUUUCUACGGAACACUGGAAUGAUGUUGUGGUACACAGACCCUCAAAUCUAGUUGUAUCACAAAUGCAGCUGCUUAUGUGAGUUUCUGUCUGCGAUCCGUUUCUCGUGCCUUUCUUCCCUCGCGGCUUGGGGACAGUUAGAGGUUCUACAUGAAACCGAUGUUAAACGUGGGAUGCCUCCCACUUAACCAAUGUCAAAUGUGGGGUGCAGGUUCAUCUCCCACGAGGGGAUAACCAAUGGGAGAGCAUAACAAACCACUAUUACAGAAGUGGCAUUUCUAAAGAAAUUCAAAAGUGGCAUAGGAAAGAGGCAGAAAAACUGAUGCCUCCUUGGAAAUGGAAGAAAACAUCUGGAACUGCAGGAUUGGUUUCAGCACAGCACAAAUUCAGAUGAUGCUAAGUAUAGCAUUCUGUUGUGCCCUCAUGACUAAUAUUCAUUGAUAGAGCAAUUUUUCUGCCAUGACAUCAAUUGCUUGUUAACAAUAAUUCGAGCUAUUGACCACCACUGUAUGUGGUGUGAAGUGUUGUCCUACUGGCAGCCAUGCAAACUGCAGCAUGACCAAUGUUUUUAUUAGAAAAGUUGGGUGCUUCCCCCUCUAUAUGUUGUAGCUGUUGUAGGUGUUUAUUCACCUAUUAACUCCUUCAGUCCAUAUGGAGGGAGUCCAGGUCUUACAGCAGGGCCAUUUCAAGAGGGGCUUGUCCCCCACAGCAGUGCAGCCAUGGAGUCCAAGGUGAAAGAUUAUCUUAAAGUACUUCCUAUGUUUUGUUACCUGUGUCGUGUUCCCAUCCAUGUAUACAACGUUCUCUUACUAUGCCAAUAAAGGAGAUUGAUUGAGUCCAAGGAAUCUCUCUCAGCCAGCCUUCAGCCAGCCUGCUCAAAAUGGAUCCCAGUCCAUUUUUCUUCUUUCUUCCCAGAACACCUUGCUAAAAACUCUCUUUUUCCUGUCACCUCACACCCAGUUACCCAGGCAACCUUCCAAAUCCCCAUCCUCUGUUCACACCUCAGGGCAAGGGGGUGAGGAGGAGUUCUCUGGCAUUGUCAAUGGCUCUCAAUGGCCCUGUAUUAUUUCUGAAUGGCCCUAGCUUGGCCAGGUCAUUUUACAUAGGCUGGCCCAGGAAUUCCUUAACAUGAUCUCAGGAUCCUUGUCCUCUACCAGGGAUUUGAGACAUUGAAGUACGGAUUCAUUUGGAGAUUUUUGCAUAGCAGGUUUAAUAAAUACUGAGCGUAUAUCCCUGUAGAAACGGCAGUGUAACAAGGCAUGAGAGACAGUUGUUGUUGUUGUUGUUGUUGUUGUUGUUGUUGUUGUUGUUGUUGUUUUCUUAUCUGGGGCAGGUAUUGGGGAUAGUCUGUGCAGGAUAGGAAAUCCUCAUUCACAUCCUUUCAAUGCCUGGAGGAUUUUCUUUACACCCUUUCCUGAGUUCUAUCGUUACGAGAGAGAAUUCUCUCUCUACACUUGCUUCACCACACUUAUAAUUCUCAACAUUUCUGUCAUUGCAAACGUUCGGCAACAUCCCAUUGCCUCCAAAAAUCCUAAAGGUUACACAAAUACUUCCCAAAAUGUCACAGUUCUAUUUUUCUACCUUGUAUAAGUCUUGAUCAAAUUGCACAAAUUAAACUUAAAUAUUAAAAAAGGAAGGAGAAUUAACGCCUGGAAUAUUUGAUGUGAAAUGCUGCAAUUUACACUGUAAGCUGGUGAUUUAGAAGAGAAGCAAUCUUUGCAAUACUCUGUGACUGUGGUUCAUUUAUCUCCCCCUUUUGCCGCUGCUGGGCUUAUGAAAGAAAAGAGCCAGACUUAUAUCUUCUGUCUAAGGGGCAUAGUAAUGUCAUCACACGCCUCUAGUGCUCAUUAAUCAUAUAUGCCUGUCUCUGAAGUUGAUAGCAUAAGUUGUAUUAGAUAUUUACACCAUAAAGCUCUAUAUCAUAAAGCUUUGCUGCAGUGAAAAUAAGGUAUCGUGGAAGUUUAGUUUAUUGUCCCUUUAAAUUCUUUAAUAUGUCAUGAGAAUAGAUCAUCAACAUGACUGAAUCCUGCAUCACAAAAAUAUCUAUUAUUAAGUGGCUUCAGCAUUUGGUACCAGACAUGGGCAAAUUCCCUUUUUAACUUGAGACUGAUCCACACCCUUCCAUCACAAAUCAGGAGAGCCCAGAACAGUUUCCAAAGUCAAAAGCAAUAGCUCAUCUGCAUCCUACCUUCCCAAAACAAUGGAUUCACAUUACGAGAAAGGAGAUUCUAACUGAACACUAGGAAGAACUUUCUGAGAGUAAGAGCUGUUUGACAGUGGAAUAGACUCCCUAGGAAGGUGGUCUUCUUCUUUGGCGAUCACUCAUAGCUGAGUAAGAUUGUCUUACAUAAACACGGUUUUAAAAGUGAGUCUGUAAGUGACUGUGGAGGACAAUUCUGGAUCCACGCGUCCUUACACAGUGGGGACCUUGGUUUCUGGGGAGGAGUUGAUCAUGGUGAGGGUUUGCCAAGCGUGCCUUCCUCUUAGCACGUUUCUCCCUUGCGUCCUGAGUUCGAGCGUCUUCAAAACCCAUGACACCUUUGGUAAAGGCUGUUCUCGCAGGCCAGUGUUUCCCAGUUGUCAGUGUUUAUACUACAUUUUCUAAGAUUUGCCUUGAGAAGCAAGGAUCACCAUCGUCGAAGCAAUGAUUCUUCAACAUCAACUUUGUUGGACUGGUCAUGUUGUGCGGAUGCCUGAUUACCGUCUUCCAAUGCAACUACUCUACUCCAAACUUAAAAGUGGCAAGCGUAAUGUUGGUGGUUGACAAAAGAGAUUCAAAGACUCUAUCAAGGCAAUGAAAGUGAUGGACUCCUCAUUGUUGGAGGUUCUUAAAGAGAGCUUGGGUGGCCAUCUGUCAUGGAUGCUUUAGCUGUGAUUCCUGCAUUGCAAGUGUUGGACUAGAUGACUCUUGAUAAUAUGCAUCCAUCUCUACCAGCCUCCACCAUCCUCACCAGCUCCUCCCACCAGCAUCUCAAGCACACUUACCUCUUCCUUUCUCUUGCCUUACUUUCUAAGUGAAACGGGGGCAGGACCGGCAGUUUACACCGAUUAGCAGCAAAUGAGGCAACAAAAUCCCAGAGGAUGGUGUAAGAUGAAGUUUUCUUAAGGACAGCUGCAAUUGUGUGUUUUAGGGGAGCAGUUGGUUAGUGGGGAGGUCUGGGAGGGGGAGCCAGGCUUGCUAGGAGAACAACCAUCUGUCCCAUUGUUUGGAUUCUUCCUGGAUCCAAUGCGAGAUUGUGGCAAGAGCAUGGCCAAAUUUUGAUAGGUUUCUGAGAAAAUUUCAGAAGUCUGUCUCUCUGCCACUCCCAAAUGGAAGCCACUUUUGCCGAAUUUUCUCCAAAUGUUCUCCAAAUAUUCUCCGCCACCCUCUCGACUUCCCAAUACACAUAUAAUGACCUGGGCAAAAAAGAUCCCAAUAGAGGCUGCCAUUUUUUUGAUAUUCAAUAUCCCUGUAAGCUUCUCAGGACCACUAUAGAGCAAAAAUAGAUUGCUCUCCCCACAGGGCCAUGGGGUCACCCAUCUGUUUAGCUAUACUGCUUGAAAAUGAGGUCCUAAAUUUGCACCAGUGCGUGAGAAGCUGGUAGCCAAACAAGACCCAAGAAGAUAUACUCUGUUUAGAAAGAUUUAUUUUAAAUACAUUAGCAGGAGAUCAGUGAAAGCAUUUCAGUUUAUAAAAGAUCUGAGCAUAACACUGAAAAGAAAUCAGCAGUGCAUUAUGCAGGACAUGAAAAAAGAAACAGUAUAUGCAAAUAAUGGUUAUAUGGGAAACAAAAUUGAAUAUGGAAAUGUAAACUAAACUCUAGUCAGAAAAGAGAACGUGCAAGACUCAAAUUUACUGCAACUUAACCAUUGCUGAACCCUACACUGGCCCACCUACUCUCCAUCAGGCCUCCAGUGAAAGGUUCUUUUGUAAUCCCAGCUGUCCUAAUGACACCGUCAAUGUGAGUGACACAAUGUCAUCCUGUCCCACUGCUUCCAGGGAGCAUUUGCAGCUAAAGACAAGCACACCUGUCAGCUCCAGUUUCUCAUAGUUUCUUAUUUUCCCAAGCUUCAGUUCAGAUCUCCACAUCAGUUUGCAAAAAUAAAAACUAAGUCUUUGUGAAAAUUCACCAGCAUCUCAGUGCAAACGUCUCCUAACAUACAAAUAUUUAUAUGCAAUUUUGCCUAUUGACUUCUUUUUUGCAAAGCCAUUUUCCCUAGUACAGCACGUUUUAAUGUCCCUUUCACCAACACAUGCAUUUUUAUGCACCAUUUAGGGUGCGCGUUUUUGUACUUGGCUGGCAAAUUGCAUUGCAAAAUUCAGAGAAACGUGAAUUUCAAAGGAUGGCUGCAUUUCAGUUCUCUUAUUUUUUGGGAAAGUGUAAAAUAGGUUGAUUCACCUUUAAAUUUGAACCAAGCAAGAGUUCUGCCCCAGGCCUUUCAGCGGUCCCAUUUUAGACAGCUGCCACCCAUUUUCAAGGUGCACCAACUAGCAAUUGCCUGUGGAAAGGAAGAUGGGGAAUGAAGGCAGCUUCUUCCCAUGCGGACCAGUUUCCUGGGUCAAUAUUCCAAAGCAGAACUCUGUCCCAAUUGGCACUUUAAGUGCAAGUGAGGUGAGUCUGCUUUCGAAUCCAGAUUUAGUUAAUUCCUCUUCCCAUCCCUACCCAUGAUGGAAAACCUCUCAGCAAAAAGAUCUAUGUCUGCAUUCUCCCUCUUCUGCCAAAGUUAGUUAGGAGGUGCUGAAAAAUAACUCAAACAGUAAUAAGAGAGUCAAAGCACCUCUGAAGUGAAAAAUGACGCAAAUUGAGUAAGGCGUCAACAUUUGAUUGACAACCCAAUCAACCUCAAAGUGCAAUAAAGACAUUUCCAGUUCUGAGAUUUCCAAGGUUAUUUGCUAUCCCUUGGAAAGCAACGAGGCCAUAAUAGCCUAGUCUAUUAUGUUAUCACAUCUUUGCUUAGAAAAGCUCUGAAGAGCAGCUUAUCUCCCUCAAAUGCCAAUGUUUGCUACAGUGCUCCUGCAAUGGGGUAAAAUAACCACGGAUGUUACCAAAUAACAUGAAAUUGUCUGAUAACCUCUCCCUUUCCCAUUUGCUUUCCUGAGGACAAGCUGGGAAGAAUUGAAAAUUUUAAAACUGAUAAAGCUGUGACUGUAUUUGCCUAACAGUAUGUGCUCCUUAAGGAACGCAGGUUAAACCACAGAGCCUAGGACUUGCCAAUCAGAAGGUCGGUGGUUCGAAUCCCCGUGACGGGGUGAGCUCCCAUUGCUCAGUCCCUGCUCCUUCCAACCUAGCACGUCAAAGUGCAAGUAGAUAAAUAGGUACCACUCCGGCAGGAAGGUAAACGGUGUUUCCAUAUGCUGCUCUGGUUCGCCAGAAGCGUCUUAGUCAUGCUGGCUACAUGACCCAGAAGCUGUAUGCCGGCUCCCUCGGCCAGUAAAGCAAGAUGAGCGCCGCAACCCCAGAGCCAGCCACAACUGGACCUAAUCGUCAGGGGUCCCCUUUACCCUUUACCUUAUGUGCUCCUUAAGUGGAUACAGGGAUACAGUGGUACCUCAGGUUAAGAACUUAAUUCGUUCCGGCGGUCCGUUCUUAACCUGAAACCAUUCUUAACAUGAGGCGCGCUUUUGCUAAUGGGGCCUGCCGCUGCUGGCGCAUGACUUCCGCUCUCAUCCCAGGGCAAAGUUUGCAACCAAGAGCAUCUACUUCCAGGUUGGCAGAGCUUGUUACCCGAAGCGUUCAUAAGGAGGACAGUACGUAACCUGAGGUUCCACUGUACAAUACAACUGAGGUAAUGACAAGCAAUGGUCCCUCUGUACUGCACAAAUGCACAAACUAUCAACCAGCUGUAAAAUUCCAAGUUUCUAGAUGCUAGUUAUUUGGAAUUUAUUACAGAGAUGCCUUGCUACACACAUGGCAGGAUAGCAGCAUCCUGAAGUUUUCUGCAGCCUCUCUGGCUGGCCAGACAGUUAUCUCCUAUUAGCCUAUAAAUUUAAAGGGUUGUUUCCUAAAGCUGGAAUAGGCGAGGGCUAUACUGAGGGGGUGUUCUCUGAGCUGGAGAAGUCAAGCCAAGUCCCAACCUAUUGUGCUCCUGCCAAAGAAAGAAAGCAGAAAUAAGCUUCUUCACCAGAUCUUAGGAAUCUGACAUCCGGAUAUGGGAGGAGGUGGUUUGCAAGGAAUCUUGGACAUAAGCCAUUGAGAACUUUAGAUGGAACCACCAACAUGCUGAAUCAUCAGCAACCUGGAAUCCCAAAGUCAUGCAAGGUGCCUAGUGUGUUGCUCUUCACCCAAACAUGGGACUGUUCAGAUCACACUGGCUAUUACAUCAAGCCAUGCACGUAUGAACAAAUAACAAGUGUGCAAACUCCCCAACCAUACAAUCAUGGAAUCAUAGAGUUGUUGAGUGGGAAGAGACCAUGUGAGUCAUCCAGUGCAAGAACCUUUUGCCCGAUGUGGGGCUCGAACCCACAACCCUGAAAUUAAGAGUCUUAUGCUCUAAUGACAGAGCUAUUCCAGUCAAGAGAGGGCCGAUGGUUCAAUGGUAAAGCAGGUUUUUCAUGCAGAAUGUCCCAGGUUCUGUUCUCAGGAUCUCCAGUCAAAAUGAGCCACAAUGACUGUGUAACCACCUCCACUGUCGGAGGCAGGAUGGCUGUGAGCAUCAGUCCUUGCUGCUGCGAAUCACAUGUGGGAGGAGUGCUGGUACAUUCAGGUCCUGACUGCAAGGCCAGGGAUGUUGGGAACUUAAGCCACAUUCACACCAUACAUUUAAUUCGACAUGGUACCACUUUAAACAUUCAAGGCUUCCCCCAAAGAAUUCUGGGAACUGUAGAUGGCUAAGGGUAAUGAGAGUUGUGAUAGGGACGUGGGUGGUGCUGUGGUCUAAACCACUGAGCCUAGGGCUUGCCGAUCAGAAGCUCGGCAGUUCGAAUCCCCGCACCGGGGUGAGCUCCCGUUGUUCGGUCCCAGCUCUUGCCAAGCUAGCAGUUCGAAAGCACGUCAAAGUGCAAGUAGAUAAAUAGGUACUGCUCUGGCGGGUGUUGGAAAUACGCCUGGGAAGGCCACCACCUUCCCAAGACACCUGGGCGUCUCUCCGGUGGUCACCCUCUGGCUGUAAAUCUUCCUCAGUCCAGAGAGACUGGUGAUAAGCGACCCCCUCACUCCUGAGAGGAGCGCGCUCGUCUUCUGGCAUCUCGUUGCAGAAGAAAGAGACAAUCGUAGUUCUAAAACUACUUUAUUUCAGUCUAUAUACAAAUAAUCCAUCAGCUUGUCUGUGCUCUCUGAGCAGCAGUACAGAACAGUAUCUCACACAGAAGUGAAAGUUACUUCUCCAGCAGUACUCCAACAGUACUGAAACUUCCUGUCUCACGCUCUCAGACACUCACAUGAUAUAAACAAUAUAGUGCUACUACUGAGCAGCUUGGGUGGAUAAAAAUCCUAACAGCAGGAAGGUAAAUGGCAUUUCUGUGUGCUGCUUUGGUUCGGCAGAAGCGGCUUAGUCAUGCUGGCCACAUAACCGGGAAGCUGUCUACAAACAAACGCCAGCUCCCUCGGCCUGUAGAGUGAGAUGAGCGCGAAACCCCAGAGUCGUCCACGUCUGGACCUAAUGGUCAGGGGUUGUUGUUGUUUAGUCGUUUAGUCGUGUCCGACUCUUCGUGACCUCAUGGACCAGAGCAUGCCAGGCACUCCUGUCUUCCACUGCCUCCCCCAGUUUGGUCAAACUCAUGCUUUGAGAACACUGUCCAACCAUCUCGUCCUCUGUUGUCCCCUUCUCCUUGUGCCCUCCAUCUUUCCCAACAUCAGGGUCUUUUCCAGGGAGUCUUCUCUUCUCAUGAGGUGUCCAAAGUAUUGGAGCCUCAGCUUCACGAUCUGUGCUUCCAGUGAGCACUCAGAGCUGAUUUCCUUCAGAAUGGAGAGGUUUGAUCUUCUUGCAGUCCAUGGGACUCUCAAGAGUCUCCCCCAGCACCAUAAUUCAAAAGCAUCAAUUCUUCAGCGACCAGUCUUCUUUAUGGUCCAGCUCUCACUUCCAUACAUCACUACUGGGAAAACCUUUACCUUUAAUGAGAGUUGUGAGGGGGUCCCUAUUCCUUGAAUCAUAGAAUCAUGGAGUUGGAAGGGACCGUGAGGACCACCUAUUCCUACCCCCUGUGAUACAGGAAUAUGCAGCUUUCCCUUAUGGGGAUCGAACCUGCAACCUUGGCAUUAUCAGCACCAGGCUCUAACCGACUGAGCUAGUGUUCCCAAAGCUCCCCAGGAAGAGGGAUUGAUUGUAAAACCACUCUGGAAAUUGUAGCUCUGUGGACUGGGAUCUCCUCACUGACGAACUACAGCUCCCAGAAUUCUUUGGGAGAAGCCAUGACUGUUCAGAGUGGUCAGAAUGCUUUGAAUGCAUUGUGUGAAUGUGACCUUAGCCUUGCUAACUGGGAGCUUUGGGUCUAUCUGAGCUUCUUUUAAUUGGUUGACUGGUUUACUUUUAUGGGUCUGUAAGCAGUUUUGAAUAUUCAUGGUAAUAGAAAGUGGGGUGUAAAUCAAAAUAGGAAUAAUUCAGAUUUGGUUUUUUAAAACAAUGGCACUUCUUUGGGGGAAGCAUUUCCCACCGACAUUUUACUGGACGUGUUGAAAGUAUUGAUCUUAUCUCUGGAUUCCCAACACUAAGAAGAAUUUACCCCAAUGUGUCUUAAAUCCAUCAAGUGCUCACCGCAUUAAUCAGUCCACUAUUGCCUGUCAAAUGCCUGCUCAGUGGUAUUUGCUGCCCUUUUUGUCAUUCGGCUCACAACCACCUUUCAGAGUGAGCUCAGUACAAAUGAUAGCAGCUAAAAUAUCCGACCAACAGCCCUUCCCCCACACCUUCUGUAGAUCAUCCUGUCUCAGAGGCUCUUUUUUUUUUUUUUAGUGAUCUAGUCUUGAAUUUUAAGAUGUCCAAGAGAAUUAAUCACGAGCUAUUAAGACCAGGAGGCAUUUGUUAAAGGCCUUGGAAGUGGAUGCACAGUUACCUCAGGCUGAUAUUUUACUCAGUGAAGGCUUGAUAAUUAUCCCAUUCACCUACACACAAUAGCCCUGAGAUCAUUAAUAUUCCUUUUUACAAACCGGGGGUGUUAAGGGAGUGAGACUUGCCUAAGGACACCCAGGGAAAUUAUGCAAAAGUGAAGAUAGGAUUGUUCAGUCUAAGAGAUGGUUCUCAAGGGAUUAUGUGUGUGUGUGCGUGCACAUGUGUGUGUGCGUACACACACACACAUGUUAAACAAUUUGGGGUAUAUAAAUACAUCAUAUUCCCUUCCACCAUUCAUUCAUCGCAUACAGCACUGAUUCCUUGCUGCUGCAGUUUGUCUUCCACCCAAAACUACCAGUACAUUGUUCUUCUUGCUGCUAGAUGUGGAGAAAACACAUAAUUUACACAGUUAUCUAGUGAUGCAAUUAACUGCAUAAUCAAUUAUUUGGGCAAAUUACGUGUCUCAUUCACAUUAUGCUAUUCCACCUCAUUCAGAAGAAACGCAAAGCAGAUUGGGAGGGGUGUAGUCCAUUUCUUAUCAAUUGCAAGCUGAAAGCAACAACAGCGGACACCGAUUCCUGGAUUCAUUUCUGCACCAGACAUGGUUUGAUUUCCAUUCUGCCACACCCCUCACUGCCCCUGCCCUGAGUAUCUAGGUCUGGUGGGAAUGUGUACUUGGAUUCUAACCAGGGCUCUAUCUUGGCUGGGUAGAGGAGGGGGGGUGUGAUUGCAUGUCGAAUCUAGCCUUCUGUACAUUUUUUGCUCCUCCCACUUUAACCUCUGGACCUGCCCAUGACAGCAAACUGGUCUGCAGAACAGAAGGGAAUGUGGCUUCCAGGCUGAAUACAGUGUUAGAAUUCCUGUUCCGUGAUUGCAGUCAUGGGAUUUUUGUCUUUCACAUGACGGUAUAUGUUUUGACUCCACAAAGUGGGAAGUGACGGAGACAGGAUGUUUGUGUUACUGUGUUCCGUGAAGUGAGACUAUUGUCCUUUGUUUUUUCUCUUUGCUGUCUGAUGCUAGAGAGAGAGGGAGCCAUGUUGCAGUGCUCCAUGUAUGUUUAUACAUAAAUAAAGUAGAUUAGCCAAAAUGCUGAGUUGCUGAGGUCUGUUAUGCAACCUGUGAAGACCUUGUGGAUCCCUAAGUGUGCCGGUGUCUGUUGGCAUCGGUCGCUGUGAUGUUCGGGCAGAAGAAAGCUUUUGAAGCUUCCGAACAAACGACCAGGAGGGAGAGAACAUGCCAGUCGGGCAUGUGUCUUUGCCAGGGUCCUACUCGAGAGUAGGACGAGCUCCUGACAUACAGAUCCUCCAUCUCUCUCCUAAAUGCUUGAGCUGCAGGCGAGCAAGAUUUAGGUGGAGAAACGAGGCUUUUGCAAGAUCUGGAUUGUAUGGAAGGAGACAAAAUAAGUGUGAGAUUGCAAUUAGCUUAUUAAUUGGCUCAGAAACACUGAAGUCAGGUACUGCUGGUUUAAAUUGGAAAGGUAGGAUUGUGUGCUAUAACCAGGCACAGGGAAUUAUUUGUGGAUGGCCUCUUUCAGUACAGACCAGCCUCCAGACUUCCCCAUCACUCUCUUCCCUUGGAACGCAAGAAACCAUGUGCCGGCCUCUGUUGGGAAACACACCAGGAUGCUCUAUAGAGCCCUGCCCACGGAAGCUGUUAGGUAAAGCUGCUCCACAAUGAACUUGGCGUUUGACCUGGACGUUCUGAAUUAAAACCUGAAAAUUGCAUGCUAUCUUCCCUUGUGCACUGCAAUGAACAUAAGGAACAUCCCAAAAUAUCCUAUUAAAAAAUCCUAUCAAGAAUUGCUCUCUGAGAGCUUCUGAUCAUUUUGAGCGCAGAGAUGUUCAUUAGUCUGAGAUACAUCUCAUUAGGCAUACGGGUGCUUUUAGCAAAAUAAUGGACAGAAAUCUGCAGCUUUCUCCCAAGCUGGAUUUUCGGGGGCUUUCAAUGGGCCUGUCACAGCUAUAGUGUAGACAUAGCACGCAAUUUUCAGCUUUUUAUUCUAAAUGUGCAGGUUGGGCUAAUGACGCUGGACUAUUAUGUGUAGCCUGAGCGUGGUAUUCAAGGUUCAACUCCAGCCACAAAGGUCAAAUCUAUAUUUAUCUGGGUCUGUAAAUGCAAGGUGUAUUCAUAGCAUUAUAUUUCAUGCCCACUUCCCCCUUUAUAUAUGUGUGUGUGUGUGUGUGUGCAUGAGCGUUCGUUGAAGCAUAGGCUGCAAUUGAACCUUAGUGCUCAACCAUCUAUUUUAUUUUAUUUUUAAUAUGAGUUUCAUGUGAGUUUAUGUUAUACAGCUGGCUAUCAGAACUUCCUGCUGGCUUCAGUUCUGUGUUCAAGCAAUUAUUCCUGCCAGGGAUUCAGUAAGUAUCAAACAGAAAAAAAGGAAAAGUGUUAACACAAUUCCUCAGGGUCUGUUUUUUUUCUGGAUACAGGGACAUGAAACUGGCUCCUCAGAUCUAUUUUCUCAGCCUGCCCCAAGCAACAGAUUUCACAGAAACAUUAUCUGCCUCUUCAAACUCUGUAUGGCUGCUGUUUGCACUUCCCUUGAUUCAAUGCUAUCAAUUACUUGCUUGUAGCCGAAGCCUUGGGAAAAAACUGCCUGUGUACAAAUGGUGCAACCUGUCCUCAUAGGGAAGUCACUCCAUACCCCUGAUCGUUUUGGUUGUAGAAUAGAGAUAGCAGUAGAGUUGGAAGGGACCCAAGGGUCAUCUAGUCCAACCCCCAGUGAUGCAGGAAUCUCAGCUAAAGCAUCCAUGACAGAUGGCCAUCCAACCUCUGCUUAGAAACCUCCAAGGAAGGAGAGUCCACCACCUCCCGAGGGAGACCAUUCUAAUGUCGAACAGCUCUUAGUGUCAGAAUUUUUUCCUUAUGCUUAGUCAGAAUCUCCUUUCUUGUAACUUGAAGCCAUUGUUUUGAGUCCUACCCUCCAGAGCAGCAGAAAACAAGCUUGUUCCAUCUUCCAUGUGACAGCCCUCGAGAUAUUUGAAGAUGGAUAUCAUAUCUCCUGAGAAGAGAAGACUCCCUGGAAAAGACCUUGUCCAACCAUCUCGUCCUCUGUUGUCCCCUUCUCCUUGUGCCCUCAAUCUUUCCCAGCAUCAGGGUCUUUUCCAGGGAGUCUUCUCUUCUCAUGAGGUGGCCAAAGUACUGGAGCCUCAGCUUCAGGAUCUGUCCUUCCAGUGAGCACUCAGGGCUGAUUUCCUUCAGAAUGGAGAGGUUUGAUCUUCUUGCAGUCCAUGGGACUCUCAAGAGUCUCUUCCAGCACCAGAAUUCAAAAGCGAUCAAUUCUUCGGCGAUCAGCCUUCUUUAUGGUCCAGCUUUCACUUCCAUAUAUCACUACUGGGUAAACCAUAGCUUUAACUAUACAGACCUUCGUCGGCAAGGUGUUGUCUCUGCUUUUUAAGAUGCUGUCUAGGUUUGUCCACAUAUGUGUAGAACAUUUAAUUAUUUCAUAAUCAAUCUCGGAUUGAAUUACGCCAAAUUAAAGUUUGCUGGAUCAAAGUAAGGGCUGGUUAGAUUUUUGAAAAUUCUCAACAUACAAUAUACAACUUCCUAAUGGACUAACGUUGAGUUUAAGAGGCAGCACUAAUCUAUAGUAAGUGUUCACACACAAGAUGAGCAAGGCUUCCAAAACAAAGUCAGACAAUUAACACUAUAAAGGAGAACCAAAUUUAGACUAUUCAAUUAUACUCCUAAUGGAAAAGUUAGUACAAUCACUCUUUGAGUUUCUGGUAACACAAAAGCUGUUAUGCACCUCUAAAUUCAUUACAUCUCAGUACAUCAAUCAUUGGGCAGGACCCUUAUACUUAUACUUUGAUCCUGGAAGUAUAAACACCCACUGUUUAUUAUGCAAUGGUCUGAAGACCUUAAUGACCUGGAACACAUUUAUUAUAAACAUCAACUUAUCUUGGGUAGGUAUUCAAACAUUUGAAUGGCAUAUAUUGAGCGAUAUGUGUAAAUCAAGAUGGCUGUAUUGAUGGUUACUGCAUUGUUAAUGUGAGCUGAUUGGGGGUGUUUUUCUUUUUUUUACUCCCUCUUCUCUUCUUUUUUUUCUUCUCUCUUUUUUUUCUUUAAUAAAAUUUCAGUUUAAAAAUUGAUUUUAAAGAACCCCAGAAUAAGUGUCUGUCUGUCUGUCUGUCUGUCUAUCUAUCUAUCUAUCUAUCUAUCUAUCUAUCUCUAUCUCUCUAGCUAGCUAGCUAGCUAGCUAUUGAUCUGAAUGCAUGAAUAAAUGUAUAGCAUUGUCCAUAGUACAGAAUACAGUUUAUGGAAUACUGAUUAAAUGCAAAUCAUGCAAAAAUCCAGCCUAUGAAAUAGCAGGAUACUGACUUGGCGCUUGUGGAGAGUAGAAAGAGAUCUAAUUCCAUAUUCCUUUCCAGUGAAGAACUGCACAAAAUUCAAGAUAAGCCACUUGGGCUGUCAAUCUAGAGCAAGUCACAGAAGGUGGUAAUAAAUUAAACCACCCAAGAGAAGCCAAGGAACAAGUGCUUUGCCUUGAUUUGUGCUCUUUUGAUCCCCUCCCUGUGUGUUGCUCACUCUUCUAUUGAUCUUCCGUUGGUUAUUUCCACACUUUCAUCUCCUCUUUUCCACAGCACCCACAGGGAAGGGAUAUAUUUGACAUCGCCAAGAUUGCCUUCACCUUCGACAGCCUCUGAGCUCAGAACCAACAUCUGCAGGUGAAGAGAUUGCCUGAGGUCAGGAGCAAACUAACUGGAUCCACCUGGAGCCACUGUUUUUGUUUUGUUUUCAAUGGCACUGGGAUCGCAUCUCCCUUGCAAGCGACCUCAGUCUGCCCCAGGCCUUUCAUUCCAUUGGAGUUGAAUGGUGCAGAGAAAAUGAAGAGAGAAAGAAAAGGCGUGCUUGAAAAUACUAGAGCCUGGGUUGCCAAACGAAAUGAACUGGCCACAGAUACAGAUAUAAAAAGAGAGAGAGAAGUAUUUCUUCACUCGAAGAAUAACUUACUGGAAUUCUUUGUCAUUCAUUCUUUUUCCAAGUUGCUCAGAUCAGAUACAUAAGAAGAGUCCAGCUGGAUCCGGCCAAUGGCUCGACUAGUCCAGCAUUCGGUUCUCACAGUGGCCAGUGGGAAACCUGCAAGAAUACGAACAGGGUUCAUCUCAUUGUAUUCUGUGAAAGAAGUUAAGAGAGAUAACAUUGCCUGAAUCUUUGGGUCACCAGUGUGGGACGUAUGUAUACAAUGCUGCCCUUGAGGUCUUUACCUGGUUCCCAGAAAGCCUCUGAGCCCCUCAUCCAACUACUGCUUCCUUGGUCACAAGGUGGUGAGGGUGGUUACCUUUUCCCCCCUUGCGAAGUACAUAGUGCUGAAGGAGGAAGUUGGAGGAGUGGCUCUUUCCCCACUUCCUCUUUCAACUCUAUGUACUUUCAUCUCUAUGUACUUUCCAAAACUUAGGUUGUGUUUACUGGAUUUUUUAAAUAUCAUUUUUUAUUUGAUUUUACAAGUGUAAGGAUACAACAAAACCAAAUAAAUAUCUGUAUUUAGAGAUUUGUCAGACUCUCCAGACUUCCCACCAUCACCUCCCUGGUCAUAUUGUCAACAUUUUCAACUGCAUAUUAUUCCAUCAUCCAUAUUUUAUAUCUCCACAUAUUGUCCAUAGUGUUUGAUAUAUUACAAGUGUUAUUAAAACCAUGCUAAUGCUUUCAUCUGAUUACAGUGGUCUCCUACAUAAAUUAUACAUUUUCCCCAUUCUUUCUUGAAGUUUGGUCUUCUUGGUUCCUGAGCUUUCUGGUUAGUUUUGCCAUUUUGGCGUAGUCCAAUAGCUUAGUUUGCCAUUCUUCUCUGGUGGUGUUUCCUGGAUUUUAAAGUGACAUGUGCACAUAAUUGUUUCCUGUCUUCCUGUUUCUCUGGGUCAGCAGGGCUGAUCUGGGAGACUGGGAAAUAGUGAGCAGAGGGGUGGCACCUAAUAGUAAUCUCUCAAAAAUCCACAUGUGCUCAUGGGCCUAAGAAGUCUGGUGCACGUGAGAAGUUUCAUAUCUUGUCAAAAAACAACAACUGUGAACUGGAAGUCCUUAAAUAUCCUGGACCAAAGUUAAGGACCUUGUACAGUGGUACCUCUGGUUGCGAACGGGAUCCGUUCCGGAGGCCCGUUCACAACAUGAAAAGAGCGCAACCCACAGUGGCGCAUCUGCGCACAGUGGGUUGCGAUUCACCGCUUCUGCGCAUGCGCAUGACGUCAUUUUGCGCUUCUGAGCUUGCGUGAGUGGCGAAACCCAGAAGUAACCCUUUCCAGUACUUCCGGGUCGCCGCAGGACGUAACCUGAAAGAACGUAACAUGAAGCAAACAUAACAUGAGGUAUGACUGUAAUUUAAUACAAGAACCUCGCCCCCGUAAACAUAUUAGUGUAUCGGAUUAUUGGCCAUAAACACAGAAGGGCUGGACAUCAGUUAUAUGGGAGAGUUAAGAGUUAUAAACUCAAGCUGUCAGUAUUUAUUCUUUCUCCAUCCCCCCACCUUGCUGCCCCCACUCUCCAACGAUACAUAAAUACUGAAGACUAUUUCAGACAGGGGCAAAUUUCACACAUCAUUGGGAACAAUAAUAAGUGUAUUCUAGAUAAGGAGCACUUGGUGUACUAAUGCGCUUUAAUGCACUGCAAAAUGUAAGCUGAUAAGUGGAUCAACUAGAUAAUUGCAGCAAGUCUGCAUCAACACCAGUCUUUAUUACAUAUACACAUGUCUAGUGAGAGUGUCAGUUCCUAAAUGUUCUAAUAACUAGGUUUAAUCUUCUUUUGACACACACACCCCCAAAGUUCCACGGCAUUUCCUCUCUCAAACAACAUUUCCAAGAGAAUCUGCUCUGAAACAUAUCAAGGCUAAUGGCUGCCUCCUUUUCUCCAGUUUUGCAGGGCUGGAUUCCAUCAGAUAUAUUCCUCCAAUAUUUAAUCCUGCCUUGCUUCCAUCAUGGAACUCAGAGUAGCAUACAUAUGGAUAAAAUUGCCAGAUAUAUAUGGACUACGUGUGAAGCUCUCAAGUUUCAGCCUGGCAACAGCCUGUUGUAAAUUAUUGCAUGGAAUUUCAGGGAGUAGAUCUGCUUUACUUUGCUUUCUCCUCCCCUCUCCCAAUUAACCUCCAUCUCCAGGGCUCUGGGGUUUGAGGGACCACAGAGGAAAAACUACCGGCGCCCACCACCCAUCACAUAACCAGUGGCUGCUCCUAGGUCUCAGGUUUGGACCCUGAAAUCUCAGAGUCUAGGAUACUUCUGAUCUGACAAUCUUAUUCCUUGAUGGUCUGUUUCCAGGAACUGAUGAGACCCAGAUCUGCUUGGUUACACCAAGGUGGUGGUUUCAUGUGCCUUCAGACCAUCCUUGGAUCCAAUUAUUAGAAAUGGCCACCACUGAAAAUGUCUUUAAAUUACUCAUGCUUCUGUGUUUUAGCAUGGACUGAAUUAUUGCCCAAUUUUAAAAUAACUUCCUUUUUAAAAAUGUCCAAGUCAAAAUUCCUUUGAAUUGUGUCUCAGAUGACAACACUGGAAGACUCAGAGACAGAUGAGGAGGACUUGAGAACAGAGGGCAGGGAAGGGAAGGAAUAUAAUGAGAAAAGGAGACAGCUACAACAACCAUCUUCACCAACCAGCCUGAUCAAGGAUCAGGGAUGAUGGGAAUUGGAGCCUGACAACAGAUGAAGUGCACCACCCUGGCUACUGAGGCAAGCAAACAUUGAAGGGUGGGAAAGAAAAGCACAGAACCUUUCUGCAUACUCUGAAGUUGCCAUCAAACAGACAAGUGCCAGAUCAGUGAAGAUGUCAGAGGAAAAACUCAGGCUCUGUAUGAUCAGAGAAGAAGAACCAUGUGCAUCAGAAAGAACAAAACAAAGCCAGAGGACUGUCCAGAGGGACCAUAGAGCAAGUUCUCUCCAUCAGCAACCUACAUAGUCUCACAGUGGGGAUGAGAUAAUGAUACAAAUUGACAUCAGCCUCCAGGCUUUUCAACUUCUUCCACAACAGUUUUUUAGCCAUUGGCUCUUAUUGGAUUUAUUUAGAUGUUGGAUAACCAACCUAACAUCACAACAAUUUGGAGAGGGAUCUACAGGAGGAAAACACUAGCUUGGAGGUUAUAGUUCAGAAAACCAUUACAGGAAUGCAAAAUAGUUUACGUUCACAUCCAUGCUUCCCACCCACCCUUACGGUGACUUUUCAGCGACCUUGGCAUUCAGGGUAUCUUCUUAGCUGGUGUUGGGAAGAGACCGCUCUUGCUUGAAACUUGAGAUGGAUGGAUCAGUCUAAAGCAUAAGAAGAACCCUGCUGGAUCAGACCAAAGACUCAUUUCCCCUUCCCCACACAGUCUCAUGUCCCCCCCCCAUUUAAUAAACUUAUAGACAUUAUGUUUUGCUUUUAGGAGACACUUGCCUGCAGCAUUUUGAUCACUGAACAUGCACAAUGGGAUCAGGGAGGAGUAGGGAGUAGGAAAUGCAUGGACAAAUGGAAUGGAAAGAAACCUGUACAAGAGCACUUGAUAUUAUGACGUUUUGUUACAGAUCCUACCUGAUGUUUUUUGCAUCUGGAGUAUGUAUACUUGUUGUUGUUGUUUAGUCGUGUCCAACUUUUCGUGACCCCAUGGACCAGAGCAUGCCAGGCACUCCUGUCUCCACUGCCUCCCACAGUUGGGUCAAACUCUUGCUGGUAGCUUCGAGAACAUUUUCCAACCAUCUCAUCCUCUGUCACCCCUUCUCCUUGUGCCCUCCAUCUUUCCCAACAUCAGGGUCUUUUCCAGGGAGUCUUCUCUUCUCAUGAGGUGACCAAAGUAUUGGAGCCUCAGCUUCAGGAUCUGUCCUUCCAGUGAACACUCAGGGCUGAUUUCCUUCAGAAUGGAUAGGUUUGAUCUUCUUGCAGUCUAGGGGACUCUCAAGAGUCUCCUCCAGCACCAUAAUUCAAAAGCAUCAAUUCUUUGGCGAUCAGCCUUCUUUAUGGGCCAGCUCUCACUUCCAUACAUCACUACUGGGAAAACCAUAGCUUUAACUAUACGGACCUUUGUUGGCAAGGUGAUGUUUCUGCUUUUUAAGAUGCUGUCUAGGUUUGUCAUCGCUUUUCUCCCAAGAGAAUGUUUACACUGGGUGUCAAUUAGCUACCAGCACAUAAACGGAUGCCUUAAGCAUGGCACAAAACUAUAUAAAAAUACUUUUGUAGUAAUACUUAUAUUAAUACUUGUAUUAAUAUUUAUAAAACAAUGCUGCAGAUAUCACCUUAUCAGGAGGUUCAUAAUCACCACAUAAGAAUCCAGCCUUCAGUGAUGUGUUACCUCUCCUUUGGAAUUCCCUUUCCUUAAAUAUUAGAUAGUCUCUGUUGUCCUUUUGGUGCCUACAGAAGAUCUUCCUCUUUCACAAGCCUUCUAAGUUGGGACCUUUCCCAGUUUGCAUCUGCAUUGGAAAGAUGUUUUGAUCAUGUUAUCUCUUGCUGCUUGCCUUCCCGGGCCCCUUUGGAAAGCAGGGUGGGAUAUAAAUAUAUACUUAUAUUAUAAAUAAAUAAAAAAACCAACAAAACCCUGUUGUUUUGUUUCCUCCUACAGUGGGAGAUUUGUGACUCUUGUCAGUCAAGUUCAGAAGACAUUCUGAAGGUCCCCUGAGAAGCAAUGGUGGUAAGCAACUGUUUAUGGGAACUUGGAAAAAAAAUAGAGUUUCUUCCACAGCAAGUUUAUUUCUUCUCCCAACAGUGGAUUCUUUACCUUUCAGUCAUCUGUCAUCUCCCAUUAUGUCCCUUGCCUCUUGCGACAGACAUGUUACAACCCAGAUGCCAAAAGGUCUGCCGUCUCUCUUCUGAGCAACAACUGCUUUGCAUAACAGAUCCCUAAAGGCAGUAGCUGCUCUGAAAACAAAUGUACCCCUAAAAAGCAAUUCCUCACAUAAGGAAAGGAAGCCCUAGAGGUAUCCAUAGCUAAAGAGGUCAUUCGAUGGUCAAAGAUGCCAUCUCAGGGCUGGUCGUUGAAAAUGCACUCUGCUACAUCAUCAUAAAUCUGAGACCAGUUGGAAUCAUGAGUAAAAAUUCAAGGGCAGGGAUCCAAAGUGGUGUUUUUAGUCUUGACUGAGGAUAUUGGGAAUGGUCAGUGAAAGAACACGUGUCUUGCAUGUAGGUUCAAUUUCCAGGUAUGGCUGGGAAGGAAAAGUCCCUUCUCUGGAACCCUGAAGAGUCCAUGCCAGUCAAUGUAGAUGAAGGGUGUCUAACCUGUGGUCCUCCAGAUUUUUGGGACACCAUCUCCCAUCAGUCUGGGACAGCAUGGGCAACAAUCAAGGACUAUGGGAAUAGCAGUCCAAGAAUAUCAAAGGAGGAUACAGGUUAACCACCUCUGGUGUAGACAGCACUAAACUGGUUGGGCCAAUGGUUUGACACAGUGGGAUACGACUUUCUGGGUUCCUCCCAGGAACGGGGGGUACAGGGGAAUUUGAAAUAUUAUUUAUAAUAUAAAAGCUUUAACACAAAAUUUUUAACUGUGUUGUAUUUGUAUACAGCAAAGAGAAGUUUAGAGUAAUUAGGUAUACUUUAAUUUAGUUAAUUAUGUAAUAGGUUUAUGUUAGAAAAUGAAUAUGGAUGUUGAAUUUGAUGUUUGUAAUUUUGAAUUUGAUGUUUGUAAUUUUUCUUUUUUUGGUUUUGGAAAUAAAAAAUAUAAUAAUAAUAAUAAUAAUAAUAAUAAUAAUAAUAAUAAACUUCCUGGGUUCCUCCCAAUAUCUCAUCUUUAAAUAUAAUUUUUCCAUUUGUUCUGUUUUUCUGAGCUGACAACAGUAUUACAAAAUUCGUAGAAAUGCAGAAUCCGAAGAACAAUUAAGUUCCAAUCUGCACAUUAGUUCAGGAGGGGCGGAUUGGGUCAGUUUGUACUGAAAACUGAAUUCCUCAAAGCAUCUCUUACCCGGGGGGGGGGGGGAUAUGCACAUUGUCACAACACCUUAUGCCCAGACUUGCUCAACAUCCCUAUGAGUAAGUUUAGAAUUUGGAUGGAAGGCAAAGCAAGGUAUACUCCCCUCCCCGACAAUUAGCCUCCCCAUACUGAAAGCUAAUUUCUGUAUAAUGCUCAUGGGAAUUGGCACAUCACUAAAUAUGCACCACAUGAUGAGUGAGAAGGGCCAUUCCCGGUGUUUGUUUUCGCUUCUCUGGGCUGCUGAGCAACAAAUGUCAGGAGUGACAGAAUAGAAGAUGGGUUAUCCAUCAUUAUGAAGGAUGGAGAGCCAGAGGAGAGUGAGUGGCUGCUAAGUAUUUGGGGAAGGUAUGCUUUGAUUGUUUCCAAAUUAGAAGCAAUCUGCUUCAGUUGGAAGAACUUGUGUUUUGAAGCUGGUUGGGUGUCAGAUUCAGAGUGGGAAGACCUGGAUCCUGUCAGGUUGGCUGCAGGUAAGCAGCUAGCUGAGCCCGGGAGCAGGGCAGAAAUCCAAGCACGUAUUUCGUUAUAUAUUUAGGUACAUAAUUGUUUGGGCUGCUUUUCAGGGUUACCUGUCUCUGUAAGCAGUGUCCAAAACUAGUUCAGGACCAGUUGUGAAGAGACUGCUGUCACAUAGUUUGCAUCUGGAUUUUUUAGAAAGUCAGUGUGGGGGAGGUGGUGAGCUGUAUAGGGACCAUCAUAGGGCAUUAAGCCUUUGCCCCCUGAUCAGAAUAAAUUUUAAAAUAGCUAUGCACAGUGGAUUAUUUGAAUUAUGGUGCUGGAGGAGACUCUUGAAAGUCCCAUGGACUGCAAGAAGAUCAAACCUAUCCAUUCUGAAGGAAAUCAGCCCUGAGUGCUCACUGGAAGGACAGAUCCUGAAGCUGAGGCUCCAAUACUUUGGCCACCUCAUGAGAAGAGAAGACUCCCUGGAAAAGACCCUGAUGUUGGGAAAGAUGGAGGGCACAAGGAGAAGGGGACAACACAGGAUGAGAUGGCUGGAUAGUGUUCUCGAAGCUACCAGCAUGAGUUUGACCAAAUUGCAGGAGGCAGUGGAAGACAGAAGGGCCUGGCGUGCUCGGGUCCAUGGGGUUGCGAAGAGUUGGACAUGACUAAACGACUAAACAACAACAUUCACAGUGGAAGGAAAGCCCCCACUGACACUACAGCGGUAUUGCUGUCACUGAAAUACUUUGGGUUUACUGAAAAAUAUUUAAGUUUGAUAUCUGUUGUUCCUUGUUAUUGCAAUUUGCCAAUGGGCUGGCACAGCCAUGGGUGGGAGUUCUGCUGUCAAUAAAGACUGAGCCUGCCCACUCCUCCUGCAAAUAUAGGGCUGCAUGCAAAUAACAAUAACAACAAUAACAAUAACAAUAAUUUAUUAUUCAUUAUUUAUACCCCACCCAUCUGUCUGGGUUUCCCCAGCCACUCUGGGUGGCUUCCAACCAAAUAUUAAAAACAAUGCAGCAUCAGAAAUUAAAAACUUCCCUAAAUAGGGCCGCAAAUUAUUUGUGGUCAUGUGUUCUGUUUUGACCACGAUGGGAAGAGGUAGUUCUCACAAUGGAAGCAGUCAUUCCCCAAUGCUGCCCUUCUCCUACAUAUUUAAAUGAAACCUUCUGUUGCCUCCAGACGGAAUGCUGACUCAGGGACCUGAUCUUCGGUUGUCAGCACAGCAUGUCCCGGCUCAAAUUAUUAGUCACCUUCAGGUCUUCAUUUUAAAAAUCGAGGUAAAUAAAGCAGAAGGAAAGGGAAGCCUGAACAGAAAGCAAUGAAAUAUAGCAGGCAUUAUUUUUAUAGCGGGAUUUUGUUGUGACUUGCUCCGUCAAUAAAUCAGAACUGAACAAGGCGUUUGGAGAUUCACAGCCACUAAUAUGUUUUAAGAGGGCUCCAGUUAUAAAUAUCAAAGAUGAAAGGCCAGCAAAGGCCUCCAUUUCUUUUUAUAGGUUGUUCAUGCUUUUGCCAAUGCGCCCUUUCUGUGAGUCGUGACUCCUAUUCCCUCAUGUCUCCGCAGCAGAAAAGUGAAGGGUUUCAACUUGAGUCCUGAACUGAGCUAAGAGCCUAGAACAGGAGUGGAGAACCACCAGCCCAGGAGUCAGGUGUGGCCCCUGGAGCCUCCCUAUCAAGCCUACAGCACCCCAAAGAGUUGUGGUGUUGGAAGGGAUCCCAUGGAAUCCUUUAGCUGUCAUUCAUGCAUUGCAGACAGGGGGUUGGAGUAGAUGACCUGAUUCUAUGAGUCCCACUUGUAUGUUGUUGUUGUUUAGUCGUUUAGUUGUGUCCGACUCUUUGUGACCCCAUGGAUCAGAGCACGCCAGGCACUUCUCUCUUCCACUGCCUCCCGCAGUUUGGUCAAACUCAUGUUGGUAGCUUCAAGAACACUGUCCAACCAUCUCGUCCUCUGUUGUCCCCUUCUCCUUGCGCCCUCCAUCUUUCCCAACAUCAGGGUCUUUUCCAGGGAGUUAUCUCUUCUCAUGAGGUGACCAAAGUAUUGGAGCCUCAGCUUCAUGAUCUGUCCUUCCAGUGAGCACCCAGGGCUGAUUUCCAACAGAAUGGAUACGUUUGAUCUUCUUGCAGACUCUCAAGAGUCUCCUCCAGCACCAUAAUUCAAAAGCAUCAAUUCUUCAGCGAUCAGCCUUCUUUAUGGUCCAGCUCUCACUUCCAUACAUCACUACUGGGAAAACCAUAGCUUUAACUAUACGGACUUUUGUUGGCAAGGUGAUGUGUCUGCUUUCUAAGAUGCUGUCUAGGUUUGUAUACCGGUAUUUAUUAUUUAAAAGACAUUUGAUAAACUGAUGAAUUUAAAAAGUCUCAUAGCCUUCUAGUAACAAUUUGGAACUUCCUACAGUGAAAUGUGUGCCUUCUAAUUGCAGGCAUGUGAGCCACAGGGCCAGAGAGCCUUUCACAACAUGAAGUGCAUAUGACUUAAGAUGGAGAAAGCAAAGAAGAAGGGUUAAAAGUAUUCACAGUGAUGGUUGAAUUCUCUAUGGCUUUGUGUUUUUCUGUGGGUGCCUUUCUUUCUUGCAAUCCCUCCAGAGGAGAAAACUGAUGGUUGUUGUUGUUGUUGUUUCCCUUUACAGGAAAAAGUGAUCC